rnacentral:rRNA from 1 species
GCCAUGCCGCGUGCAGGAUGACGGUCCUAUGGAUUGUAAACUGCUUUUAUACGAGAAGAAACACUGCUUCGUGAAGCAGCUUGACGGUAUCGUAAGAAUAAGGAUCGGCUAACUCCGUGCCAGCAGCCGCGGUAAUACGGAGGAUCCAAGCGUUAUCCGGAAUCAUUGGGUUUAAAGGGUCCGUAGGCGGUUUAGUAAGUCAGUGGUGAAAGCCCAUCGCUCAACGGUGGAACGGCCAUUGAUACUGCUAAACUUGAAUUAUUAGGAAGUAACUAGAAUAUGUAGUGUAGCGGUGAAAUGCUUAGAGAUUACAUGGAAUACCAAUUGCGAAGGCAGGUUACUACUAAUGGAUUGACGCUGAUGGACGAAAGCGUGGGUAGCGAACAGGAUUAGAUACCCUGGUAGUCCACGCCGUAAACGAUGGAUACUAGCUGUUGGAAGCAAUUUCAGUGGCUAAGCGAAAGUGAUAAGUAUCCCACCUGGGGAGUACGUUCGCAAGAAUGAAACUCAAAGGAAUUGACGGGGGCCCGCACAAGCGGUGGAGCAUGUGGUUUAAUUCGAUGAUACGCGAGGAACCUUACCAAGGCUUAAAUGUAGAUUGACCGUUUUGGAAACAGAACUUUCGCA